GGGGAUGUUAUUGGCUUCGACGCCGGUGAUGAAACUCAUAGAUGCAUGCCGAGAGCGCAUUUUCUCUCGUAAAUAAAAUUUGCAUUUAAAUAGUCGCAAACGACGAAACUUACGCUCUAGCUGCCUAAGGGCCGCUUGUCCGCUUCCUAGAAUACUUGUGGUCUGGGAACCCGACUGAAGCGCACGCACACAAGUCCGUAUAGAGUCAAGCCUCGGGGCUUUAUACCAAACUUAGAGGAUCGCACCUUGUACCCUGUUCGUCGGGUCACUUGGUGUUAAAACAAUAGACGAUAUCUAAGCAUGUAGU
rnacentral:tmRNA from 1 species